ensembl:lncRNA
CAUAUGGUAUUUGUCUUUCUCUUUCUGACUUACUUCACUCAGGAUGAGAGUCUCUAGUUACAUCUAUAUUGCUGCAAAUGGCAUUACUUCAUUUGUUAUGGCUGAGUAGUAUUCCAUUGUGUAUAUAUGCCACAUCUUCCUAAUCCAAUCAUCUGUUAAUGGACAUUUGGGUUGUUUCCAUGUCUUGGCUAUUGUGAAUAGAGCUGCAAUGAACAUGCAGGUGCAUGUGUCUUCCUCAAGGAAAGUUUUGUCCAGAUAUAUGCCCAAGAGAGGGAUUGCUGGAUCAUAUCAUAGUUCUAUGUAUAGAUUUAUAAGAUAUCUCCAAACUGUUCUCCAUAGUGGCUGUACCAGCUUACAUUCCCACCAACAGUGCUAAAGCAGUCAAACUCAGAGAAACAAAAAGUAAUAUGGUGAUACCCUGGGACUGGGGAGGUUGGAAAGUAUAGGUCCUGUAUGGGCAUAGUUUCAGUUUUGCAAAAUAAAAAAAUUCUGGAGAUCUAUUCCACAACCAUGUGAGUAUAUUUAACACUACUCAACUGUACACUAAAAAAUGGGUAAGUUGGUAGAUUUUAUUUUUACCACAAUGACAAAACUCAUAAAAAAGUAACUCUUGGGUAAGUAUGUCACAGGUAACAAAUCACAUAGCAAACAGGUUGUGUUACUGUUUUCUGUAGAAUCCUUUGGGUGUGAAAAAGGAUGAAAUGGAAGAAUGAACUGACCUUGGAAAGCCCUUACUCUCUAUAACCCUCUCUUGUGACCCCUGCAUAACUCCAUAUUUAAAAUUAUUUUGCAUAGAUCAAUGGCCUUUGCUUCAGAUGAGAGGGCUUUUCCUGAGCAUAAUAUUUGUGGUUGUUAAACUCUGGCUUUGUAGUUCCUUUGUCCUUGUCCAUUCAUCUGGCACCAGAUAGCCAUGCCCUCUCUUCAUGAGAACCUCAAAGUCAGAAUCUGUGUCACAGUCUUCCAAAUUCUUUUUGUGCCCAAAGAAGCUGGCACCAGGGAUCUCCCCAGCUUCAGUCUUGGAGAAGACCUUGGUGCACUCAAUGGGCAUGAUCAGAUGGUAAAACAUGAUAUCCAUGCUGCUGUUCUGAGAGCUGAAGGACUUCUGAGUCAUCUUCAAAUACAGCAAAAUAGAUAAUAGCCCUCUUGCAAGCCAGAAAUGGUGAAAUAUUUCAAAGUGAUGACAUUCUUUCCAAAGUUCAUCCUGGCCACCUGAUCCACUCCAAGGCUACAUACAUGUAUGAAUUUGGGAAGAAAAAAUAUAUAUCAGCACCUUCAGGAUCAUUCAUAGAAGAUACUUUUAGUAUGGAAUUACCCAAAGUGUUGCUCCAGAAUUCUUACCUUUGUGAGAACUGCUGCCCUGAGGUGAAAACAACAGUGGAGUAAAGAGACCAUGGACAGUAAUAUUAAACAGAAAGGUCAGAAGAAUCAUGUUUGCUCCUGGCAUCAUCAUUCAUGAAAAGUGGGUUAUAGGUAAGUCCCUUCUUUCACCUGGGGCUUCUUCUGGGGCCUUAGGAGGCAC